UAUUUAUAUUUAUACUGCACUCGUUCUAUUUAAGCAGUCAAAAUGCGUUGACUGUAUAUUUCUAUGUCAUAUACAGUCACUGACCCGAUAUCACUUUUCCUCAUGAAUAUUUAAAUAGAAGUUGCCGAAAUAAUAUUUAAUUAUUCAUACGACCUCUUCAACCUGUUCUUGUUUCCAAUGCAUACAACGAUGCGUGGAACGACUCAACCUUGUUUCUUUUGCAAUUAUUGGAAAAACAUAUAUCAUUUGUUAAUAUUUUUUGUUUGCAACCUAUUAAUCAUUAUGUUUUAUGCUUAUGGUUGAUAUUUUAGUCCAUACUCAAACGAUUUCGUUCACCAUCGAGUGUGGAUUUCAACAAGUAAAAAUGUACAUUUCAUUGUGUUUUUAAUU
rnacentral:lncRNA from 1 species